rnacentral:miRNA from 1 species
UGAAUGCUUCGUGCAACAGGAAG